rnacentral:misc_RNA from 1 species
GUAGGUAAGUUGAUGUCGAAAAUCCUCGCUGUUCCUGAGAACCAUCACUAACAUCUCAUUAGGUGAACCUGCGGAAGGAUCAUUACAGUGUUCAGGCUUCGGCCUCAUUCACACACCCCUUGUUUAACCUCUGGUUUCUUUGGCGAUGUCCAUGGACUCGUCAAACUUUUAACUCUGAUAAUGUGGUACUGUCCGAGUGAGAUUGAAUUAUCAAAACUUUCAACAACGGAUCUCUUGGUUCCA